rnacentral:rRNA from 1 species
UACGUAGGGUGCGAGCGUUGUCCGGAAUUACUGGGCGUAAAGAGCUCGUAGGUGGUUUGUCGCGUUGUUCGUGAAAACUCACAGCUUAACUGUGGGCGUGCGGGCGAUACGGGGCAGACUGGAGUACUGCAGGGGAGACUGGAAUUCCUGGUGUAGCGGUGGAAUGCGCAGAUAUCAGGAGGAACACCGGUGGCGAAGGCGGCUCUUGGGCCAGU